AAGAGUAAGUCGUAACAAGGUUUCCGUAGGUGAACCUGCGGAAGGAUCAUUA
rnacentral:rRNA from 1 species